rnacentral:rRNA from 1 species
GGACUACUGGGGUAUCUAAUCCUGUUCGCUCCCCACGCUUUCGCUCCUCAGCGUCAGUUACUGCCCAGAGACCCGCCUUCGCCACCGGUGUUCCUCCUGAUAUCUGCGCAUUCCACCGCUACACCAGGAAUUCCAGUCUCCCCUGCAGUACUCCAGUCUGCCCGUAUCGCCCGCACGCUCACAGUUAAGCCGUGAGAUUUCACGAACAACGCGACAAACCACCUACGAGCUCUUUACGCCCAGUAAUUCCGGACAACGCUCGCACCCUACGUAUUACCGCGGCGGCUGGCAC